rnacentral:lncRNA from 1 species
ACUUUCUUUGAAGUGGUAUAUAUACCUCCCUAGCUAGUAUGUCUUUAAAACAAUGCUAGGAUAGUAGAAAUUGAUACGGUUGAUUACGAUUUUACACGUCAAAAGUUUCCUUUUCCUGCUGUGGUAUAUUAGGUUAAUAUUGCUCUUAAUAAAAAAUAAGCGCAGUGGACUUUUUAAUAUUAGACGACACAAUUUAUGAAAGGACCACCGUGGUUAGUAAAGAUUAUUUGUAUAAACUGGGUCUUUUUAUGCGUUUUUUCACUUUCAGUUUUCACUUAGGGUUCCAACUUGAAAUAAAGUCGCAUUCUUGCCUUGCAGUGCUCACUUUAGGCCUUGGCUCUCUCUCACCUCUUUGGAGACAAUAAUUUGGAUGUUAACAAUGUAUGUGUUUUGGUGUAUCUCAAAGACACCAAAACACACACAUCGUUAACUUUCAAAAAAUUGUCUUUCUCAAAGUUUCUUUCUCAAAAAACUGUCUUUCUCAAAGCUUGCCGCCAUUAGUUCAUGCCGGGUUUGGUUUAGAGGCAAAUAGUUUGGAUUUUGAUGCGUAUGUGCCUUUGUGUAUCUCAAAGACACAAAGACAAAUACGUCAUCAAACAUCUAAAAUAUUGUCUUUCUCACAUUGGUGGUUCGAUUAUGAUGAGGAACAUAGCUCCCACUGAUAAGAUUUCAUAUAUCUUGGGAUCUCAUUUUAAUUUCUCUGUGACGACGAUUUUCUAUAUAAAUCGUUGUGGUUUUUCUCAAUUCUUGUUAUUUUGUUGAUCUACCGUCGUAGGCUACCAAAAUCCAAGAAAGAAAAAUCUUAAAAAGUAAUAAAAAUUAAGACGACGGUUUAUAGAUAAGGGCGAUCGUAUAAAUUAAAUAAAUACACCAGUACUUUUCGCUUAACGACGUGGUAAAAUAAUAUGAUACGAUGCUCAUUGAACAAACUGACGUGUUGAUUACUAACUUAUACGGACCGUCUUGAUAUAGUAAAAAUAUGCAUGGAUAUUAUUGAAUUAAGACGUCGUUAUCAACUCUUCUGGUGUCGUGGUUCUCUACUACUCUAUACGACAGUAGUGUUAUAGAUACCGCCAUAGUACACUCUCACAUAAUAUGUCAAUAAAUUUAUUUUUACCGUUGUUUUUAAAAUUAUACGACGCUGAUUAAGAACAGUUGGUCGUAUUUAUCAAAGAGUUAACACGGCGGCGGUUUUGGUAAACCGUCAUCUUUACUUUCUACGUCGGUGGCUUCAUACCUGCUGUCGUUGUUUUUAGGGUCAGAGUUUAAGUCUAAAGAAAACCUGUUUAAUAAGAGGAAGCUUUUUAAGUUGGGUGCGUUGUGUUUUAGAAAUACCCAAGCGAAUCUCGAUUUUUAAGGUGUUUAAGUUACUUAUGCACGACGGUUUUCUAUUACCGUCAUAUUUCUGAACACAACGACGGUAUUUUGUUCUACCGUCGUUGUUUUCUGAUCGUCUUGUCUUUUUUCCUUUUUGUAGUAGUAUUAACAUAACAACAGGAUCUAGUCAAGUAGAAAAUGGUAUUAACUUGCAGACAUUACUGUGUAUGUGAGAAAUCUCUUUCUCCUUUAUAGUUUAGACCAUCGCUUGUAUUAUAUAAAUAAAAAAAACAAUAACAAAAGUUAAUUUUCUUUCUUUUUUUUUUUUACAACUUGUCAAGGGUUGUUAAUGCUAUGUGUAUUGAGUUAACAGUGGCAAAGCCACUUCUAGGCCUAGAGUGGUCCUUGCUCCCCCCAAAAUUUUUCUCUCUUCUCUAUUAUAUUACAUACUUGAAGAGAUACCACACCAAGUUUAUGUUUUAAGUUUUAUAAAAAUGAAAAAUGGAAAUUGCAACUAAAAACUGAAAAUAAUAUUACUAGCUAGCUAUGGCCAAUAUCACAGAUUCAAUGACUUAACGACUCAUUUAGGUACUCUAGCUGUAGGCCUCACUUCAAUAACUUUUCAAUACUAUUAAAUCAAUAAAUUAAGUAACUAGUUGUCAAAUACAAAAAUAUGAUAAAAUUAUUAUAGGGCUUUUUCUCCUUGUGGAUGAAAUAUAUAGAAGGUUACAACUAAGGUUUUACAAGUAAAAUAAUAAGGUUUCAUCUGAUUUAAAUAGGGAUUCUUGUGAAGAUAGAAGUCUUGCACCCCAAGUAGUCCUAGUUGCCAAGAAAAGUUAGAUUCAUGUUCAAGUUAGGGUUUUGUCAAGUAUGUAAGCAAGUCAUAAGAGUAGUUUAGGAUCUCUACAUACACAAUUGAUUUCAAACAAAUUUCAACAAACCCCAUCGAUCACACAAUUUCCAAACAAUGCUUUGCUUUUAUUCUUUAGAUUUCAAGUUGACAACUCCUGCAAGUUUCAUCCAUCUUUCCUGAAGAUUGUUAAGCACAACUUUACAUUUGUAUAAUUUAUGGGCGGUGAUUAAUCCCAAUCGUGAUUCUUGAUAGUUUUUGUAAUAUCCCAAACCAAAAAUUCAUAAUUAAGGAAUAUUUUAUUUUGCGAAAAGACAAUUUUGCCCUCAUAAUAUUUUAUUAAGAAAAAGGUGACUUUUUGAUCGAGAAGGAAUUUGACACUUCCGCUUUCGCCAUUGCAUAGAGCACGGUGAAACGAGUUCAUAGACACAUAGUGGGCCCGAAUCGGAGUUGUAACGAGAAAGUUAUGGUCAAAAGAGUCUCAGUGGCAUAAUCGUAAAUAUUUCGAAGUUGAAUCUAUACAAACCAGCCAGCUCUCUUCUCUCGCGCAAAAAAACUGCCCGCCGCCUUCCAGAGCUUGCUGGUGCCGCCUCAGGGCACAACCGGCCAGAACCGCCUUCGAGUCCCCUACCUUUUCCGACCCUUCCCCGCCAGCUGCACGGCCUGUGCUGGCCGGAAAUUGCAGAAAAGCGACGGGAACUCACCGAAACUUUAAGGCCACCGAUCUCCCUCCUUCGGCCACUAUUUCUGUCGACCCAGGCUCCGAGGACCAGACAGGCCCGCAGGAGAGACCGUCAGGAGGUCUAGCGAGCUAGGACCAGGAGAUGUAGCGUGCACAGGAAAUUCACCACCAAGCCAUCUUGCCUUCCGCACCUUCUUGUUACAGAAGUAUGGGUCUGUAAAAAGAUAGAAUUGCUCUGAUAUAUUGCCCUAGAUUGAGAUUGGAACUAUUGGCAUGUAUAUUGAAGUACUGGCAGUUGGUUGUGUGGAUAUUUUUGCUUGUUUUGACAGGUGUAAGUUUUGGGAUUGAGCAAAUUACAGGGGAGACUCUGCCGAAUUUUUGGCAGGAGUCAAGGUUAGAAUUUCAAUUAGAAGGGCAAAUAGGUCAAUUGUGCCCGACAUUCGCCAAGUGUCGGACACGCACAGGGUUCGACUCGAAUUCCAAAGCGGAAUUUGGUUCGGGUCCUGUCAAUUUGGUAUCAGAUCAAGGUUUCACUUCCUGUAGACUUUGCACUUUGUGCAUUCUCGUUUCUUUUCAAUUUGGGUUUCCAAUAGAAUUGUUAUUUUCAUUGUUCUAACCAUUUGAAAUUUGAUAAUAUGCUUAUAGUUUUGAUCAUGUUGUUUCAUUCCAGAUUCAGUCUUACUCCGUUGAUUUUGUUUGCGUUAGAUAAAUAUUAAAGUUCUUAUCUCUUUUUUUUUGCCAGAAAAUAUUAAAUUGCUUACCAAUGAAGGCAUAAAAAACAAUGAAUCUGGUUACCAGGAGGUGCAAGGUCCCUUUUUAUUUAUCUAUUGAGUAGGAAUAGUGCCAUGAUCACAAUUAAUACAAUCUCUUGGCCUCUUUCGAGUGCUAUAAGAUUUCGGGUAAAUAGAUAGGGAUCACAUUGUUACAUCCCUAAAAUAAAAGGUAGAAUAUAUUAUAGGACCCGACCCAAAUUCCACUUUGGAAUCUGAGUCAAAUCCUGUGUGUGUCCGACACCUGGCAGUGCCAGGCAUAAAUGACCUAAUUGCCCUUCUUCUCAAAAUUCAAAUCCAUUUUAGGUUUGACUCCUGCCGAAAAUUUGGCAAAGUUUUCCCUGUAAAUCGAACAUUCCCAAAAUUCACACCUGUCAACAAGCAUUUAAAUAUAUACAUCAACUGCCUGUAUACAUAUAUAAAUACGUUCCAAUAGUUAAAUAUGUCCUAGGGCAAUAUCAGAGCAACUAUACAGAUCAAUUUACAAGGAAGGUAACAACUUGUGAACCAAGAACCCUACAUCAAACUGAGGUAGUGCGGGAAGCGGAAACUGCCCUGUGGUGGCUCACAGAUGCACGCCUACUACCUGGGGGCGCAGAACAUUCAAAAAAAUGUGAGUGGACAAAAAUAAAGUUUUAGAAAAUAGAAUAUGAACAUACUAACCCCACUAUAAAAAUAGUUACGCAAAACUAAAUUAUCCUCUUCAUUAUAUUCGUACUGAAAUCAAUGCAUUCAUACAUUUAUAUACGUAUAUGCCAAUCAUACUCAUGGUCAAUAAAACUCUCUUAAAAGCAUUGAAAUCAAUUUAAAACUACCACUGAGGUGUACCCCUUUAUUUCUGUCAAUUCCUGAUAUCCGUCAAUUCCUCGUGUCACAAUUUGUGACACGUCCUCGCAGGUCUCGGUAAUACAAGGUCGACUGAUCAAUUCACAAUUGUAUAUCAUUUUGUACCCUUCUAGCUUAUGAUUUGGUUAUGUUAUUGAGUCAAACGUGUGCUUUUAAUCCCUUUUCUGUUUAUCAUUUAGUUCAUUGGGCCUUAGGUAGCAAUGGUGUCUUUGGAUAAGAAAAGAUGCAAAAUGGUGCAAAAACGAGCAGACUGGGUUAGCAACUCAUUUCGGCCUUAACAUCUUUCUCCGAACUUGGAUUGGCCCAAAUAAUAUGUAGUUGGAAAGAUGAGAGUCUGAACUUCAAGAUGGACUACUCAAAUGCAUCAGAUUAUGAAGUUGAGCCCAAUUCGUGAGCCCAUAUACACACCAGACAUGUUGAGCAAUUUAGGGAGCAAUUAAGGGAGGUAUGUCAGCUACUCAAGUGCAGAGGAGAGCCAUGUGACUCACCACAGCUUUCCUUGACUUUAGACCAGACAUGUUGAGCAAUUUAGGGAGCAAUUAAGGGAGGUGUGUCAGCUACUCAAGUGCAAAGGAGCCUUGACUUUAGACCAGACAUGUUGAGCAAUUUAGGGAGCAAUUAAGGGAGGUGUGUCAGCUACUCAAGUGCAGAGGAAUCACUCCAUUCACCAAUAAUUCACUCCAGCCAUCCUAUAUCACUUCAUUCAGCCCAAAAUCACCAGAGGAACAACUACAACAAGCCUUCCUUCCAUUUCCUACGAAUUUGUUCUUUUUCUGCCAUCACCAACCACCCAAACUCAUCCCAAAUCACCUCUUUAGUUGCCAUACUCUAGACAUGAGAAAGUUCUUGGAGUAGCAUUAGACGUGGAGAAGCACCUGGAGAAGCCUUGGAAACCACAAGCAACUUCAGAAUUGGGUUUCUCUACUCUUAUUGCAUUCAAUAUGUUUUCUCAUUUUUGCUUAAGUUUCAUUUCCAUUAUGAGUAGCUAAAUUCAUAACUAGGGCUAUGAUGUAACCUAACAUGAAUAUUCUGGGUUUAUAAGUUGAAGUUUUGAGUUUCAAGUUUGAUUCAUGAUUCAUAUUCCUAUUCUUUAUGCUUAUCAGUUAAUAUGCUUGUUUGGAUGAUUGAUCACCAUUAGAACUUGUAUAUUAGCUACCUUGGUUUGAAUCAAGAGUAGACACCAUGCUUUGAUUUGAAUUGAACUAUGAAUAAGAAAAGUAUGUAUGGACAUUCGACAACAGGGAUUAGAUACAUGCUUGGUUGUUUAAAUUGUUCUUCUAUGCUUAAUGGGUUCCUAAUGCCUAAUUUAGAUUAGACAACAAAUGAUCAAGUUAGGGAAUUAGGAGCACAGGGUUAGGACCAGACACCAUGGCCUAAUCAUACUUUAGCUAGAAUCAAUCUUUGAAUUCGAAUGAGACUUGUCACUUGACUCCUUAAAACCCAGAAUUGAAUUGUUAUGGUGAAUCGAAUGCCCUAGUCUCCCAAUCUGUUUUCCAGCCUACAAAAGUACUCUUUGUUACAUUUGUUCACUUUGCUUUUGUUUGAAAUUUCGUUUUGUCUCAUUUGUUCAACAAUUACAAUCACUCUUGCUUUAAAUUCUAUUUUAGACUUAACCUCCUACUUUCUUGAAUUUGGUAAUCUAAGUACAUAACUAAUUUUAACUUCUCAGUCCUCGUGGGUACGACCUCGUACUUGUCUUGCUAUACUACUAAUUGGCCCGUACAAUUGCGAGUUAACAUUUUAACAACAUCGACCUGAGCCGCAAUCUCCCAAGAUUCAGGAGACCUUUAGUCAACCUGAUCCGCAAUCCUCGCUCCCAUAGUCCAGGCAUCCCCGAAACUCGUGGUGCAACUGUCAAGCGCACUAACUGUACCGAAGGCAACAAUUUUAUUCCGAAGGCAACAUCUUUAUAUCUUGGUACCUAAGGUGGCUUAAGAAAAUAUAAAAUUUUUGAAAGAUCUGAUGAAUAACUGAAUUUCUGUUAGAACUCUGCUGCAUUUAUCUGAUAGUUAGCUAGAAUUUCCCUUUUCUAUAUCCUUAAAGGAUAUCUACUCUGCAGCAUAUAAAUUAAAAUAUUUAAAAGCACAUAUCAAAUCAUGAAAGCACUAAUCUUCGAAUAAAACUUAUUGAAGACCAAAUAAUGAAAUUCAAUUGCAUAAAAUUGUUUAUAAAACAAAAGUCCACUCACUCUUGGUCCGAGUUAGCUGGACCUCUUGAAGGUCCCUCCUGCGGGUCUGCCUGACCUCGGGUGCCUGAUUAAACCAUCAUGAAUAUUUAAUUAAUAAAACUGCUCGGUAUAAGUAUUUAAUUAAAACCCUAACCCCCGGCUCCUAGAAGUGUGUGCACUAACUUUAAAG